rnacentral:pre_miRNA from 1 species
GGGGGAGGCCGAAUCCUGGGCUGUGUCCCGGCCCUGUUCUCCGGGACCUGCGCUGUUGGAUUCUCACUCCCGGCCGGGUAGGCACCU